rnacentral:rRNA from 2 species
UGGCAAUCAUUCGGAGAGGGGAAAGGCACAAGGGGGAUUGACUGCGAGACCUACAAGUCGAGCAGGGACGAAAGUCGGGCUUAGUGAUCCGGUGGUUCCGCAUGGAAGGGCCAUCGCUCAACGGAUAAAAGCUACCCCGGGGAUAACAGGCUUAUCUCCCCCAAGAGUCCACAUCGACGGGGAGGUUUGGCACCUCGAUGUCGGCUCAUCGCAUCCUGGGGCUGUAGUCGGUCCCAAGGGUUGGGCUGUUCGCCCAUUAAAGCGGUACGCGAGCUGGGUUCAGAACGUCGUGAGACAGUUCGGUCCCUAUCCGUCGUGGGCGUAGGAAAUUUGAGAGGAGCUGUCCUUAGUACGAGAGGACCGGGAUGGACACACCGCUGGUGUACCAGUUGUCUUGCCAAAGGCAUCGCUGGGUAGCUAUGUGUGGACGGGAUAAGUGCUGAAAGCAUCUAAGCAUGAAGCCCCCCUCAAGAUGAGAUUUCCCAUAGCGCAAGCUAGUAAGAUCCCUGAAAGAUGAUCAGGUUGAUAGGUCAGAGGUGGAAGCGUGGCGACAUGUGUAGCUGACUGAUACUAAUCGAUCGAGGACUUAACCAAAUU